rnacentral:rRNA from 1 species
AGAGUGCGUAACAGCUCACUAGUCGAGGAGUUUGGCGUGGAUAAUAAUCGGGCAUAAGUAUUCUACCGAAGCUUUGGGAUGAGAAAUCAUCGGUAGGGGAGCAUUCCACUCGGCGUCGAAGGUGAAGCGCGAGCUUUGCUGGAGCGUGUGGAAAAGCAAAUGUAGGUAUAAGUAACGAUAAAGGGGGUGAGAAACCCCCUCGCCGAAAGACUAAGGUUUCCUGAUCAACGCUAAUCGGAUCAGGGUUAGUCGGGUCCUAAGGCUCAGCCGAACGGUGAGGCCGAUGGCAGAACAGGUUAAUAUUCCUGUACUACCUUAAAGAGUGACGUGGAGACGGAGGCGUGACAGUGCCGCGAACUGACGGAAUAGUUCGUUGAAGGGUGUAGAUGUUGAUCGGGGCAGGCAAAUCCGCUCCGAGAGUCGAACCUGAUAGUAUGGAGCGUUCUUCGGAACAAUCCAAUAGCGCAUGUAAACAUACUCCCAAGAAAAUCCGCUAAACUUAAUCUUUAAGGUACCCGUACCGUAAACGGACACACGUAGUCGGGUUGAAUAUACUAAGGCGCUUGAGUGAUUCACGGUUAAGGAACUAGGCAAAUUGACCCUGUAACUUCGGGAUAAAGGGUCCCAACGAGAGUUGGGCGCAGAGAAUAGGUCCAGGCAACUGUUUAACAAAAACACAGGGCUGUGCGAAAUUGAAAGAUAAUGUAUACAGCCUGACACCUGCCCGGUGCUGGAAGGUUAAGAGGAGAUGUCAUCGCAAGAGAAGCAUUGAAUUGAAGCCCCAGUAAACGGCGGCCGUAACUAUAACGGUCCUAAGGUAGCGAAAUUCCUUGUCGGGUAAGUUCCGACCUGCACGAAUGGUGUAAUGAUCUGGACACUGUCUCAACCGUGAGCUCAGUGAAAUUGUAGUAUCGGUGAAGAUGCCGAUUACCCGCGAUGGGACGAAAAGACCCCGUGAACCUUUACUAUAGCUUAACAUUGAAUUUGGGUAAUUGAUGUGUAGGAUAGGCCGGAGACUUUGAAGCGCAGACGCCAGUUUGUGUGGAGUCGCUGUUGAAAUACGGCCCUUUGAUUAUUUGAGUUCUAACUCGUAGUUGCGAGGACACUGUUUGGUGGGUAGUUUGACUGGGGUGGUCGCCUCCAAAAGUGUAACGGAGGCUUCUAAAGGUGCCCUCACGACGAUUGGUAACCGUCGGCAGAGUGUAAUGGCAUAAGGGCGCUUGACUGGGAGACUUACAAGUCGAUCAGGUAG